rnacentral:rRNA from 1 species
AUGGGCCUGCGGCGGAUUAGCUAGUUGGUGGGGUAACGGCCUACCAAGGCGAUGAUCCGUAGGGGGCGUGAGAGCGUGGCCCCCCACACUGGCACUGAGACACGGGCCAGACUCCUACGGGAGGCAGCAGUGAGGAAUAUUGCACAAUGGGCGCAAGCCUGAUGCAGCAACGCCGCGUGAGGGACGAAGGCCUUCGGGUCGUAAACCUCUUUUCUGGGGGACGAGUAAGGACGGUACCUCAGGAAUAAGUCUCGGCUAACUACGUGCCAGCAGCCGCGGUAAAACGUAGGAGGCGAGCGUUAUCCGGAUUUACUGGGCGUAAAGCGUACGCAGGUGGCUUCGUGAGUCGGACAUGAAAGCUCCCGGCUUAACUGGGAGAGGUUGUUCGAUACUGCGAGGCUUGAGGUUGGGAGAGGGACGUGGAAUUCCCGGUGUAGUGGUGGAAUGCGUAGAUAUCGGGAGGAACACCAGUGGCGCAAGCGGCGUCCUGGCCCACACCUGACGCUGAGGUACGAAAGCGUGGGUAGCAAACAGGAUUAGAUACCCUGGUAGUCCACGCUGUAAACGAUGUCAACUGGGUGUCGGUAGUUUUACACUAUCGGUGCCGAAGCCAACGCG